GCUCUCAGCUCGAAAUUGCCCAUCUCUCGUAUGCAGAGGGAUUUGACCGAUUCCACUGUUUUGAGGAAUUUGGGUAUUAGAUCUGGGUAUUCUCUCUUGGCAUACAAAAGUGCACUACAAGGAAUCCGGAAGCUUCAGGU